rnacentral:lncRNA from 13 species
GAUGGAGGCAACACCAUCUGACCUAACACACUGGUUGGGUUCUCUAGAAGAGAUGCUGAGGCAGACGACUGACUUACAUUUUUUGGAAUACUUAUCAUGUCUACAGUGAUGUGUGAAACAGAAUGCCUAGAUAGAAAUGGAAGUAGAUCAAUAUUGCUUUAACAGAGAGAGUGCUUCAUGAAGACACACAGGUAUAUAAUUAAACAUAACAAACAUUUCCCAAGGG